rnacentral:rRNA from 1 species
AACGCGAAGAACCUUACCAGGUCUUGACAUCCCCAUGAAAAGGCUAGAGAUAGCUUCCCUCUUCGGAGCAUGGGAGACAGGUGGUGCAUGGUUGUCGUCAGCUCGUGUCGUGAGAUGUUGGGUUAAGUCCCGCAACGAGCGCAACCCUUGAUGCUAGUUGCCAGCACGUCAUGGUGGGCACUCUAGGAUGACUGCCGGUGACAAACCGGAGGAAGGUGGGGAUGACGUCAAAUCAUCAUGCCCCUUAUGACCUGGGCUACACACGUACUACAAUGGCCGGUACAACGGGAAGCGAAGGAGCGAUCUGGAGCGAAUCCUUAGAAGCCGGUCUCAGUUCGGAUUGCAGGCUGCAACUCGCCUGCAUGAAGUCGGAAUUGCUAGUAAUCGCGGAUCAGCAUGCCGCGGUGAAUACGUUCCCGGGCCUUGUA